rnacentral:rRNA from 1 species
UACGUAGGGGGCAAGCGUUGUCCGGAUUUAUUGGGCGUAAAGAGCGUGUAGGCGGCCUGAAAGGUCAGCUGUGAAAACUCGAGGCUCAACCUCGAGACGUCGGUUGAAACCAUCUGGCUAGAGUCCGGAAGAGGAGUGUGGAAUUCCCGGUGUAGCGGUGAAAUGCGCAGAGAUCGUAAGGAAGACCAGUGGCGAAGGCGGGUCUCUGGACAGUUCCUGACACUGAGGCACGAAGGCCAGGGGAGCAAACGGG